rnacentral:rRNA from 1 species
CCUACGGGUGGCAGCAGUGGGGAAUAUUGCACAAUGGGCGCAAGCCUGAUGCAGCCAUGCCGCGUGUGUGAAGAAGGCCUUCGGGUUGUAAAGCACUUUCAGCGGGGAGGAAGGCGUUAAGGUUAAUAACCUUGUCGAUUGACGUUACCCGCAGAAGAAGCACCGGCUAACUCCGCGCCAGCAGCCGCGGUAAUACGGAGGGUGCAAGCGUUAAUCGGAAUUACUGGGCGUAAAGCGCACGCAGGCGGUCUGUCAAGUCGGAUGUGAAAUCCCCGGGCUCAACCUGGGAACUGCAUUCGAAACUGGCAGGCUAGAGUCUUGUAGAGGGGGGUAGAAUUCCAGGUGUAGCGGUGAAAUGCGUAGAGAUCUGGAGGAAUACCGGUGGCGAAGGCGGCCCCCUGGACAAAGACUGACGCUCAGGUGCGAAAGCGUGGGGAGCAAACAGGAUUAGAUACCCCGGUAGUC